GAAUACUCAUGAGUCAAACAGGUUUCUCAAUUGUUAUCCCAAAUGAAAGACGAGACUAGCCCUUUAUGGUUCAUUUAGCACCCAGGAAAGUGGUCAGUUCAGAAGCUCAACACUGGCCUAUUUCAAGAACCAAGGAAAAUGUCCAUCCAGUCACUGAGCACAAAGACAUUAGCCCCAAAAUAUUUGAAGGAAUAAUUAGAUCUUUCUUCUCUGACAUUCUACCAACACUAUUUUCAUGAUGCCACCAAUGUACACUUUUGCACCUCCCUGCUUUGUAAGUGCAUCUGAGGAUUAAGGUACAUUCAAGACCUGCCCUUCUGUAGAACAUACUUGCUAGGAAGACAUAAAUACACGAUGACUAGAUAAGAGCAUUGGACUCUAUUAUUCCAUUCAUUCAUGAAAGUCACAGGUUUUUCUAGGAGUCAUGGAUUUUCUCCUCGCCACAAAUUCCUAUGAUUGUGUAGCUGAUUGAGACCUUGAAUCAUCUAGUGCCCUCCCCCAUUCCAUUCAUCUGAGGCCAAGAAGGGCGACUACCAACUACACCAUCAAGUGCAUUUCAAACCAUAAUGAAGGGACUGUAGACAGUCACACAUUUCCCAAGAUGAAAAACACUUAACAUGGAACCACUUUAAAUCAGCCUCUGUCUUCUUCAAAUGCGAAUACUCUUAUCCCUCCAACCUGGAUGCCUUGGCUGUGACAUUUAGAGCAGAGAUGACUUUUCCUAAACUACACCAACUUGUGAUAUGACUCAAUAUAUUCAACCUGCUCCUGCUCAAGCUGGCUAUAUGUGCAGCAAUAAGAAGAAAAUGAUGUUGCCAACAGUCAUUAAAUUGCUUAUAAAUACCAUCAGGAUUCAGUUAAUAGAAUACACAAUUUUAUUAAUGUCAUAUAUCUAUGAUCUUUCAAUAAAUUAUAAAAGUCAGCUACCUGACAUUGUAUGGUAUGAUGCACACAUGGAUAACCCUAGUAUGGCCUUUCUGUAACCACAGCUGUUGCCCUGUAAU
rnacentral:lncRNA from 10 species